UAUCUCUGUAGAGUCUGCAUAUCAAUAAGCGGAGGAAAAGAAACUAACAAGGAUUCCCUUAGUAACGGCGAGUGAAGCGGGAAGAGCUCAAAUUUGAAAUCUUCAAGGUUCUACCUUGACGAAUUGUAGUUUAAAGAAGUGUUUUCUGUUAGAUGAGUAGCAAAAGUUCCUUGGAAUGGGACAUCAUAGAGGGUGAGAAUCCCGUAUUUGGUUAUUCAUUCUAGCUUUGUGAUACACUUUCAAAGAGUCGGAUUGUUUGGGAAUGCAGUCCAAAAUGGGUGGUAAAUUUCAUCUAAAGCUAAAUAUUGGCGAGAGACCGAUAGCGAACAAGUACCGUGAGGGAAAGAUGAAGAGAACUUUGAAAAGAGAGUUAAACAGUACGUGAAAUUGUCAAAAGGGAAGCGUUUGACACCAGUGUUGUUUUUCCGAAAAUCAAUUACGAAUGGCUUGAUUUUGUGUUGUAUUGACCUUAUCAGCUUUCUUCACUUUUUUCGAGUCUUUCUUAAUGCACUUUUCGGUUAACAAGUCAACAUCAAUUUCUUUUGUUGUAAAAGAGUAUUCGGAAGGUGGCUUUCUUUUCGGAGAAAGUGUUUAUAGCCCUAUACUUCUACAAUCGGAGAGAUUGAGGUCUGCAGCGUAGAUCCUUCGGGGUUAGAUACACUUUGUGCUAAGUUGUAGCUUUCCAUAGACAACUUGUUGACUAUGUUUAGUCAUGCGGCUUACUCGCUUAUGCUAUUUUACCUACGCUUAGGAUGUUGACUGAUAUGUAGUCGUA
rnacentral:rRNA from 1 species